rnacentral:pre_miRNA from 1 species
UAAAUACUUCCUCCGUCCCAAAAUUAUUGUCUUAGAUUUGUCUAAAUAUGGAUAUAUAUAGUCAUGUUUUAGUAUUAGAUACAUCCGUAUUUAAAUAAAUGGAUGUAUUUAAAUAAAUUUAAGACAAGAAUUUUGGGACGGAGAGGUAUAUA